AGCCCGGGGCUCAACCUCGGAACCGCAUCUGAAACUGGCAGGCUAGAGUCUUGUAGAGGGGGGUAGAAUUUCAGGUGUAGCGGUGAAAUGCGUAGAGAUCUGAAGGAAUACCAGUGGCGAAGGCGGCCCCCUGGACAAAGACUGACGCUCAGAUGCGAAAGCGUGGGUAGCAAACAGGAUUAGAUACCCUGGUAGUCCACGCCGUAAACGCUGUCUACUUGGAGGUUGAGGUUUAAGACUUUGGCUUUCGGCGCUAACGCAUUAAGUAGACCGCCUGGGGAGUACGGCCGCAAGGUUAAAACUCAAAUGAAUUGACGGGGGCCCGCACAAGCGGUGGAGCAUGUGGUUUAAUUCGAUGCAACGCGAAGAACCUUACCUACUCUUGACAUCCAGAGAACUUUCCAGAGAUGGAUUGGUGCCUUCGGGAACUCUGAGACAGGUGCUGCAUGGCUGUCGUCAGCUCGUGUUGUGAAAUGUUGGGUUAAGUCCCGCAACGAGCGCAACCCUUAUCCUUGUUUGCCAGCACGUAAAGGUGGGAACUCCAGGGAGACUGCCGGUGAUAAACCGGAGGAAGGUGGGGACGACGUCGAGUCAUCAUGGCCCUUACGAGUAGGGCUACACACGUGCUACAAUGGCAGAUACAGAGGGCAGCGAAGCUGCGAAGUGGAGCGAAUCCCUUAAAGUCUGUCGUAGUCCGGAUUGGAGUCUGCAACUCGACUCCAUGAAGUCGGAAUCGCUAG
rnacentral:rRNA from 1 species